AGUCAAUGCUAGAAAUGGACGUUUAGUUAUUGAAUCCCGCUAACGAGGGGAGCCAACAAGAGAGGGAUGUCGGCAUCGGGUGUGCGGUUCCAAGAACUGAUUGGCUGUGGAGAUUAGAAGUUAGGAACCUUUGCAACGGAAAGCGGCCUCGGGCAGGCGCCUUUUGAGCAGAGGAGUAAAACCGGUAAGUCAGCAGUGGAACCCGCCUCCCCGGAAAUCCUUGGAGGGGGCGGGGCCCUGGGGAGCGCGCUCUUCCCAGCGGCAGCUGGGGAGGCGCAUGCGUACUUGCGUCAUCGUUGGGUAGCAGCGGGGAGGCGUGGGAGGAUCUGAGGCCUGCGGUGGGCCUUGGUCCCUUCUCUCCCCGCCCCGAAGCCGCCUGCUCAACCUGAGGGCCACCGGCCUCUAUCCGUCGGUGCCGAUGCUCCUUGCUUCCCAGCCAGAGCGUCUCAUCUCUGGGCCCGGAGCCCCAGGCUCGUUCUCCUCAGCCCCUGCCGGCGGCGGCGCUCUUGCAGCCAUUCCUGUGAGGUCGUUUUUCGGAGCAGCCGGGCCGGCCGAGGAGUAAGUAGGCGCCAGAGUUCUAGCUCGGGCAUCUGCCUCGGGGCCCUGUCGCCGCCGCGCCCCGGAUCCUGCGUUGGUCCUGUCCGAUAAAGCGGAGGUCGGCCCUGCUUGCUGACGAGACCGUAAAAACCACGGCGCUUGGCGCCCUGCCGCCGCCACACCACACCAAAGUGUACCUGCCCGAGGCUGGCUUCGGGCGCGAGCUUGCAUUUGUGACUUUCUCUUACCGUCUUUGUUUGCUUCGUUUUAAGUAUUACUUCCAGAUAAGGGACACAUUCUCGAAAUACUUUGAAAACAGUUUUGAAUUUUGUUCCUCCCGUUGAAACGGAUUAAAUUUGGACCUUUCAAGCUACACUGUGCAAUCAUCAAUCUCAAUAAGCUCUUAAUAGGCUCAUUCUUCCGUAGGCUACAAACAAAAUAAAGAUCAUAACAUCCUGCGGAGGAAGCCAUUGGUCCAUGUAGAGUCGCCAGAUGUCAAUUAAGAGUAGAUCGCUUUUCAGAGAAUACUUAACGACUCUGGUUUAGACCUAGACUUGGAACUUUGAGGUGUUUGGAACACUGGGCAGAAUUUUCCUUUGUUACAAAACAAAGUUUAUGAGAACGUAAUUUGUUUUUGUUGUUUUUGUUGUUAGUAUUGAAGCAAUUUUGGUGCAAACCAAAGGAUAACAAAGCAAAACAAUGAAAAUCACCCAGAGUUCCAUUACCCACACUGAACCAACUUGAAUAUAUUGGUUUAUUUUGGCUUUUUUCCAUAUGAAAUGUUAAAUUUUCUUGUACUCACGUGUAGAAUAUGAUAGUUUGCUCUUUCAUGUAACAUGUCUCCCAAUUUUUACAUACAUAAUUCUAGUUUCAGUAAGCAUUUUUAUAACUACACUCUUUUUCCUUUGUUAUUGUAUGUCUAGGUUAUUUCAACUUUGCACUGUUGCUUGUAACUACUAUGUGAUGAGGCAGUAGCUAGAUUAGUAUUUAGAACGUGAGCAUUCAAGUCAGGCAGACCUGGGCUUCACAACUUACUGUGCAAUUUCAAAGAGUUUAACUUUUUUGAGCCUCAUUUUACACAGUAACAUGGGGAUAAUGGUUCUGAUUGCAUAGAAUUAUUAUGAGAGUAAGAUGAAAUAAUGAGUGGAAGUGCCUGCAGCAUGUAUUGUUAGUAAAUGCUGUAUUACUGCAGGCAAAUUUUUCUUUUGUUGUGGUUUUUUGGUGACAUGUAUGAUUUAUUUCCAGAUUUUGAAUAUACUUAAAUACUAUUAACCACAGUAGGGGUAUGGGGUUUGAUCCACAGCUUUUCAUAUAUUUUAUACAAUAUAUUGUGUGUUUGAUACACAGCUUUUCAUAUACUUUAUUAUAAGUAACACAUGAAUUAGAAAUAAUUUUUCACAAUAGGAAAAACUUUUUAAAAAUUAAAAUUUAUAAUCCUGCUAACCGUAGGUGAAUAGUCACAUUUUGGGCAAUCCUUUUUUAUGCAUAUAUAUGUAGUGGUUUUAUUUUAUUUUAUUUUAUUUUUAUUUUUUGAAACGGAGUCUUGCUCUGUUGCUCAGGCUAGGGUGCAAUGGUGCGACCUCGGCUCACUGCAACCUCCGCCUCACGGGUUCAAGCAAUUCUCCUGCCUCAGCCUCCCGAGUAGCUGGGAUUACAGGCGCCCGCCGCUGCGCCCGGCUAAUUUUUAUAUUUUUAGUAGAGACGGGGUUUCACCAUCUUGGCCAGGCUGGUCUCGAACUCCUGACCUCGUGAUCCACUCGCCUCAGCCUCCCAAAGUGCUGGGAUUACAGGCAUGAGCCACCGUGCUGGGCCUGUAGUGUUUUCUAAAAAUAGAAUUAUAUUAUAAAUUGGGUUUAUCAACUUGCUGAAAAUGGCAGAGGCCAGUGCGAUGAGAGUAGGGUGAUUAAGGGAGUAGGAAGUAAUGCAGGAAAGGGAGUUUGUAGGAUUUAGAUUUCACUGAAAGUGUACUGGACAGGUUGGGCAUAGUGGCUCAGGCCUGUAAUUGUGUCACUUUGGGAGGCUGAAGUGGAAAGAUCCCUUAAGCCCAGGAGUUCGAGCCAGCCUGGGCAACAUAGGGAAACCCUAUCUCUAUAAAAUAAAAAUAAAAAUAAUUAUUUUGAAAAAAAAGUUUACUGGACAGAGUAAGUUCAGGGUUGAGGAGUGACCUGAUUUGUUUUAGAAGGCUCAUUUGGCUGCCAUAUGGAGAUAGACUGCAAGGGACCAGGGGAGGAAGAUGCAAUCCAAUUAGGAGAGUAUUUAAGUAAUCUCUGUGAGAGAUGGUGUUAGUUUCGAUCAGGGUGUAAGUAGGGAAAAAUGAUUGGGUUCUGGAUAUAUUUUGAAGGGAGAAGUUAUAGGAUUCACUGAUUGAUGGGAUGUGGAAUUCAAGAGAAAGUGACUUAAAGAAUUUUGGUUUGGGCAGUUAAACAGAUACAGUUGCUACUUACCAAGAUAGAGACUGAAAGUUGGGGGAAACUAAAUAGAGUUCUGUUUCAGUCAUGUUACCUGUUGUGGAGUCUAACUAGUUGGAACAGGAGUAUGAAAGACUUAAUCUUCUGUUCUUGAGGUAUCAAUUUGUCCCUUCAUUUCUGUCAGUUUUUGCUACAUAUAUUCUGUUACUAGGUGCAUCUAUCCUUGUAAAUUGUUACAUCUUCCUUGUGGGUUUAUCCUUUUAUCAUUAAAAAUGUUUCUCUUUUUCUCUAGUAACAUUGUUUUAAAGUCUAUUUUGUCUGAUAUUAAUGUAGCUAUUUCAGUUCUCACGUGAUUACUAUUUACAUGCUUUGUAUCAUUGACUCUAAAAUGUGUCUCCUGUAGACAUAUAGUUGGAUCUUGGUUUGUUUUUUGUUUGUUUGUUUGUUUUUUGUUUUGAGACAGAGUCUUGCCCUGCCUCCUUGGCUGGAGUACAAUGGCGUGAUCUGGGCUCACUGCAACCUCCACCUCCCGGGUUCAGACGAUUCUCCCACCUCAGCCUCCCCAGUAACUGGGAUUACAGGGGCCCGCCACCACGCCCAGCUAAUUUUUGUAUUUUUAGUAGAGACGGGGUUUCACCAUGUUGGCCAGGCUGGUCUCAAACUCCUGACCUUGUGAUCCACCUGCCUCGGCCUCCCAAAGUGCUGGGACUACAGGCAUGAGCCACUGUGCCUGGCCGGAUCUUGUUUUUUUUAAUCUGAUAAUUUCUGCCUUUUGAUCCAAUUGUUUAAUCAUUCACAUUUAAUGUUAUUGAUAUAGUUGGAUUUAUGUAUGCCAUCUUAUUUUUGUUUUCCUUAUGUCUUGUCUUUUUCUUUUCCUGUCUCUCCUUUACUGCUUUGUUUUGGAUCAAGUGAAUAUCUUCUAAUGUAGCAUUUUAAUUUCUUGAAUGAUUUUUUACACUGUUUUAAGUUUUUUUUAGAGACUGUAGUGGUGCUCUAGGGCUUACCGUACAAUUAGCUUAACUUAUUAGAAUCAGCUUCAGAUUUAUACUAACUCAAUUGCAGUGAGAUAUAGAAACCUUACUCCAAUAUAGUUUUAUUCCAUGUCCCUGUUUUUUUGUGGUUUUGUUGUUGUACAUGUUAUAGUUGUUACAAACUCAACAAUACAUUACUACAAUUAUUACUUUUACAUCAUUUAAAGAAAAUGAACAAAGGAAAGCAAAUAUAUAUUUGUAGCUUUUGUUAUAGUAACCUUAUUUAUCAUUUCAGGUUGUUUGUUUAUUUUUCUUGUGGAUUCAUUACCAUCUGGAGUAAUUUUGUUUUCUUUUUCUUUCUUUUUUUUUUUUUUGGAGGGAUAACAGGGUCUUGCUCUGUUGCCCAGGCUGCUGGAGUGCAGUGUCAUGAAUAUAUCUCACUGUAGCGUCAAACUCCUGGACUCAAAGUGAUCCUUCCACCUCAACCUCCUGAGUAGCUGGGACUACAGGCACAUGCCACCAGGCAUGGCUAAUAUUUGUAUUUUCUGCACCUCAGCCUUCUGAGUAACUAUAUUACUCUAUAAGCACACAUCACCACACCCAGCUAAUUUUUAAAUUUUUUAUAGAGACAGAGUCUCACUGUGUUGCUCAGGCUGGUCUCUAACUCCUGGCCUCAAGUGAUCCUCCAGCUCUGGCCUCCCAAAAGUGCUGGGAUUACAGGCAUGAGUUCUUUGUAUGAGUUCCUUGUAUAUUUUGGAUAUUAACCCCUUGUUAGAUAAAAGGUUUUUCAGUAUUUUCUCCCAUUCCGUGGACUGCCUUUUCAUUUUGUUGUUUCCUUUGCUGUGCAGAAGCUUUUUUGUUUGGUUUAGUUCCAUUUGCUUAUUUUUGCUUUUGUUGCCUGUGCUUUUGGUGUCAUUUACAAAACAAACAAACAAAAUUAUUGCCAAGACUAAUGUCAUGGAGCUUUUCCACUGUUUUCUUCUAGUUUUACAGUUUCAUGUCUUACACUUAAGUCUUUUCACUUUUUUUUUUUUUUGAGACAGAGUCUCCCUCUGUUGCCCAGGCUGGAGUGCAGUGGUGUAUGAUCUUGACUCACUGCAACCUCCACCUCCUGGGUUCAAGUGAUUCUCCUGCCUCAGCCUCCCGAGUAGGUGGGAUUAUAGGCAUGUGCCACUGUGCCCGGUUUAUUUUUGUAUUUUUAAUAGAAAUGGGGUUUCACCAGGCUGGUCUUGAACUCCUGACCUCAAGUGAUCCACCCGCCUCAGCCUCUCAAGGGACUAGGAUUACAGGCAAGAGCCACUGCGCCUGGCCUCUUUUAACCAUUUUGAAUUGACUUUUGUGGAUGGGGUAAGAUAAGGGUCCAAUUUCAUUUCUUGGCAUGUGGUUAUCUAGCUUUUUCAACACCAUUUAUUAAAGAGACUAUCCUUUCUUUAUUGUGUACUUUUGACACCUUUGUUGAUGAUUAGUUGGCCACAUAAACGAGGAUUUAUUUCUGGGAUUCCUAUUCUGUUCCAUUGGUCUAUAUGUCUCCUUUUAUGCCAGUACCAUACAGUUUUGAUUACUGUAGGUCUGUAAUAUAAUUUGAAAUGAAGUGUGAUGCCACCAGCUUUGUUCUUCUUGCUCAGGAUCAUUUUAGAUAUUCUGGGUCUUUUGGGUUCUGUAUGGAUGUUAGGAAUUUUUUUUUUUUUUCUGUGAAAAAUGUCAUUGGAGUUUUGCUAGAGAUUGCGUUGAAUCUGUAGACUACUUUGUGUAUUGCAGACAUUUUGACAAUAAUGAUUCUUCUGAUCCUGAACAUGGGAUAGCUUUCCAUUUAUUUGUGUCAUCUCCAGUUCUUUCAUAUAUGUAUUAUAGCUUUUAGCAUACACAUCUUUCCCCUCCUUGGUAAAACUUAUUCCUAAGUAUUUUAUUCCUUUUGAUGCUAUUGUAAAUGGGAUUGCUUUCUUAAUUUCUUUCUUGGAUACUUCACUGUUAGUGAAGUGUAAUUGAUUUUUGUAUGUUGAUUUUGUAUCCUGAAACUUUACUGGAUUCGUUUAUUCAUUCUAACAGUUUUUAGUGGCGUAUUUAGGGUUUUCUGUAUAUAGGAUGAUGUCACCUGCAGAGACAAUUUUACUUCUUCCUUUCUGAUUUGGAUGCCUUUUAUUUCUUUUCCUUGCCUAAUUUCUGUGGCUAGGAUUUCUAGUACUAUGUUGAAUGUAAGUGAUAAGUGUGGGCAUCCUUGUCUGUCCUUGUCACAUUCAGUUGUAUGUGCAAUACUGGAACCAUCCAGCUCAUAGUCACGUAAUUCCUCUUUGUGCAGCCUCAUGUAAAAUCACACCCCUAUUCACAUUUUUUUCUGUCUGUCUCCCACCUCUCCAGGUCCCUGCCCUGCAACUUUCAGUUACUUCAGACUCUCAGAAGACUAGCCUCUAAAUACCUCAAUUUAUCUGCACUACUGUGGUCUACUUGAAAUUCUCUUCCCUCUUCUGCAGUUUGUAAUGGCAUUCAGGCCAAAAACUGUAGUAGUUUUAGGGCUCUCUUCAUUUGCUUCUCUGCUCCUAGGGAUCAUAGUGCUGUGCUAUCUGUUGUCCAGCAUCUGACACAGUUGGUUUUAUAUUUUGUCUGGUUUUCUAGUUAUUAAGCAGGUUAAGUCUGGUUCCUGCUGUUCUAUAUAGCAGGAAGCAAAGGUUCUCUCAUGAAUUUUUAGCAUAAUAACAUAAGCGUGGAUUCCAAAAAUUCAUUACACAGAUCCUGGAAAUCUGUUUACUAUGUUUUAUACAUUCUGUGAAAGCUGGAGAAUAUAUAUUUGUUUUACUAUGUGUAUCGCAAAUAAAAUAUCAAUUUCAUGUGCCAGAGAAUUGAAUACAUUAUCAAAGGGUCAUUUCAUAACGUUAUAAUCACCAUCCAUCCUGUAAGUCCUUUGAAAUUUCUUCUUUUCUAUGGAUCUAACAUUGAUCAAUAACGAAUUCCUAAGCAUCUAUAUUAGUUAGCCCAGUGUUUCUCAAAGUCCACCGCAUGUAAAAAUCAUCUAGGGAAUCUUUCUAAAAUGUGGAUUCUGAUUUAGUAGGUCUGGGGUGAGGUCUUCCCUUUUGCAAUUCCAGCAAGUUCCCAUGGGAUGCUGGUACUGGUUAAUGGAAGUCACUUAGAGUAGCAAGGAGCCUGUUUGCCUAGUAUUUACAAUGAGCACGUUUUGGGUAUCAUCAAAACAAGAGAAUCUAAAAAUGUAUGGUGUGGGUGGAAGGUUGUGUUACUUGAUAUUUCAAAAAGAUCAUUGAAAUCAGAAAAUCUCAGAGAUAUGUUGGAUUUCAUCACAUUUAUUCUAUGGCUUAAUGUUGUUUUAUUUUGAAUAUAUAAUAAGAGAGAUACCACAAAUCUUUAGCUAUUAAUAUUUAGGGAUGUUAAUGUCCUUAAUUCAUAUUGUCUCAAAUGUGAUUCAUUCCCUCUAUAGGUAUACUAAAACAGGCAUUCAUGCCUACAAAACCAUCUUCCUAACUUUCUUUCCUCUUUUUAGUCUCUUCCUGAACCAGUGACAGUGGUUCUCAAACAUUUUGGUCUGAGGACCCCUUUAUGGCCUUAAAAAUGAUCGAAGAGCUUUUAUUUAUGAAGGUAAUACCUGCUAAUACUUGUUGUAAUCUAUUAACAUUGAGAAAUGUAAAAAUUUUUAUUAAUUCACUUAAAAUAUCAAUAAACCCAUUAUUUGCUAAUAUAAAUUGCACUUUUUAAUGAAAAAUAACUUUAGUUUCUACUGUGUGCUUCUGCAUUUUGAAAAUAUGUCUAGGAUACGGUAUGUAUUUAGGAGAUAUUUUCUAAAUAAAUGCAUAUUCAUUUUUUAAAAUGGGACAAAUGUAGCAUAGACAUAUUUUUGCUAACAAUAUCCAUAUAGUUGCAAAUUUCACUUUUAGAAUUUGCUUUCAAAAACAGGUUGUUUAUUCUUCUUUGUUAUGCCUUAGUUAGUAAAUCAUAUAUUAUAAAACUUCUUCAAUGCAAUUGGUCUUUGGUCAGCCAUUGACAUAGGAAGAGUUAGAAAGAGUCCAGGGCUCCUUGGUACUGGCUGUGACUGGAUAAGUAGGUUGUGGCUUAGUUUGUGUUUAGGUGUCAUAACUAGGCUAGGUUUGGGUCCCAGAAAGUGCUAGCCUUACUGUAGGAGAGGAAGUGGUAUUGCUGGGUGUGUCCUCAGGUCAGGAAGUGGGACGAGUGCAGUAUGGAAGCCCAGGGGGGUCCUUGUGACUGGAGGAAAGGUGAGGUUUCCAGUAAAGGAUUCAGAAUUCGGGCAUGGUGCAGCAUGCCUAUAGCCCCAGCUACUCAGGAGGCUGAAGUGGGAGGAUCACUUGAGACCAGGAGUUCAAGGUUGCAGUGAGCUGUCAUUGCGCCACUGCACCCCAGCCUGGGUGACAGAGUGAGACCUGUCUCAAAAAUAAAUACAUAAAAAUAAUAAUUAAAAAAAAAGGAUUCAGAAUUCUAGAAUACAUAUUAUCUUUCUAUCAUGCAGAUCUGUUCUUAGGAUUGUAUUUUCCAAAUCAUGAAUAAAAUAAUUUCCAAAAUACUUAUUGGGAAAUUAUAUAUAUGUACUGUAUUACUUGGAAUAAAAAUCAAAUAAAAGUCAAACUUCUUAAUGUGGCUGUAAAGCCUUGAUUAUUUAAACCUUGCCUAUUUUUCAGUUUAAUCUUUCAGCCACACUGGCCCUUGUGUUAAUCCUAAAACAUGCCAUGCUUUUUCCUACAUUAAAGCUUAGGGUUUUUGAUAUUUCUACUGCCUGGAUUUCUCUGUUCUCACUCUUCCUCUUGAUCACCAUGACUUAUUUUUCAAGUGUUGGCUUAAAUGUCCGUCUCACAGAUAGCCCUUAUCUAAAUAACAGCUUUCCCUCUGGUUCCUAGAUAAAUUAGGACCUGUUUUUUUCUAUAACUUUCUUAAAGUAUCCUAUUAUUUUCCCUGAUAAAACCUUGUUGGACUGUUUGUCAGUAUAUUUAUUUGCCUGUUUGUUUGGUGUCAGUUUCUCUUUUUUUCCUGUGUGUUUUGUUUGUUUGUUUUUUUGAGACGCAGUUUCACUCUGUCACCAGGCUGGAGUGCAAUGGUGCAAUCUCGGCUCACCACAACCUCCACCUCCCAGGUUCAAGCAAUUCUUCUGCCUCAGCCUCCCGAGUAGCUGGGAUUACAGGCAUGUGCCACCAUCCUGGCUAAUUUUGUAUUUUUAGUAGAGACAGGGUUUUUCCAUGUUGGUCAGGCUGGUCGCAAACUCCCGACCUCAGGUGAUCCGCCUGUCUUGGCCUCCCAAGGUGCUGAGAUUACAGGCGUGAACCACCGCACCCGGCCUGUUUGUUUGUUUUCUUAUUAGACUAUAAACUAUAUGAGAUCAGACCAUGUCUCUUUUGUUUAUCACUCUGGCCUACCUGCUAACACAGUGCUUACACAUAAUAGUAGGUGCUCAAGAAAUACAGUGUUUGAUGGAUGAACGUAAAAUUGUAAGAGCCUGAACUAGUGUAAUAUCGAAAAUAGGGAGGAAGACAUGAAUUAGGAAAGCCUUUGAAAAAUUAGCAUGUUCUGUGAUAAAGCUACAUCUAGGCAAUAUUUUUUGAUACUUUUAAAAAAAAAACUGUAAUAGCUACCCAAUAUUUAGGAAUGAUACACAUCACACAUCUCAGUGAGGUAUGUAGCCUUUUGUACUGGUGAAGAGAGCCAGGUGAAGUCUAACUCUAAGGAUCUAAACACUCCAUUCUAGUAGAGAGCCUGGAGAAGUGCUCUUGCAUAAGCUCAUCCAUGUAAGACCAUCCAUAACUUAGUGAAAUAAUUUUCAUUGCUGUUUAGUUGCAAAAAUCACUCACUGUUUUGCCUCCAUAAGAUUAUCGGUUUUAGUGUUUAAUCGUUCACAGCCUUGUCAAAACCAAAAUGGCUAGGGAGAGAACUAUUUCCCUACAUUAAAACUUCGAGCAAUGCUCUUCAUAGAUUUUGUUUUGAAUUGUUUAGGCCCAUCUCAGAGUUCAAGACACUUAGUCUCUUCUAAGAGAAAUCAUGGUCACAACAAACAGAGAUUAAAUAAAGAGCAAGAAAUUAGAAGAAACUCAAACCAUUCACUUAGAUUAUUUGUUAGAUUUUGGCCUUAAAAAGAGACAAAGUUGCUUGAAACAAGUGAUUAAACUGACAUUUUUAGAUUAUUAUUUUAUUCAUACCUUUAUUGUGAAUAAAUUGGCCACAUGAUAACAUUUUAUAAUGUUAAAUAAAUAUGAUAUAUAUAAAUCUGUAUACCACAACAAUUAAAUUGGAGGGCGAUUUGCCAUUUAAAUAAUUUAUCAUAGGAUUUUUAUAAGAUCAAGCGCUUAGUGCAUAUCAAAGAGACAGAAAGUUUUCAUUGCAGUUCUGCACGUUCACUGAGUACCUUUUAUGUACCAGUUGCAUUGUUCUAGAAUCUUAUCUAUCAUGUAAAGCUAGGUACACCUGAAAUAGUUUAGUUAUGGUGGCAAAGUUAGACUGCAGUUAUUGGCUGGGAAUUUUUUGUAUAUCUAUGUACAUCUUCCAUAAGAGGGCAGCAAAGGACCAGCAUGAUUUUUUCCUUAUCAUGAAGUCAUAGCAGAGAUUGCCUCAUAUUGCAAACUUAAUAGAAAUCUUCUCAGAGUAAGGGCAAACAGAGGGCAUGGUUACAAGUUUACUUACUGUCUAGCCUGUCUUUUAUAUGGUCUGAUAUGGCUUUUUAGUACAUAGAUUAUCUCACAUCACAGUGAUAGCCUAGUGAUUAAAUGUUGAUCCUGGGGUCAGUUGUCAGGCUUUAAAUCCUGGAACCAUAACUUAACUAGCUUCGUGGUCUAGAAAGACUACUCAGUCUUUCUGAGCCUCAGUUUCUUCCUCAAUUUUUUAUAAAAAGGAGGGCAAGGGAUAGUAACAAUGCCACUUCACAUGGUUUUAAUAAACAAAAUAAAAUUUGUGUCCUGAAGAGGCUAAGAACAGUUAAAAGGUGGAGCUAGAAAAACCACCCUAUACUAGCCUUAGGUGUAUUGUAUUUAUUUAAGUUAAACUCUUAUUAAAAAGAGUCUCAUAAAGGAAAAUAUAGGUCAUUACUUUCUGUAACUACUUAGUAUUUUUAGUUAACUAACAUAUAUAUCUAUGUACUGACCAAUUAUUUGCUCGUACAAUUUAUCAAACCAAUUAAAUAUACACUGUUAAAUUUAUUUCCCUGUCCCCCGAGACAGAUCCUGGCUACGUUGCCCAGGCUGGAGUGCAGUGGCGCGAUUUUGGCUCACUGCAACCUCUGCCUCCCAGGUUCAGGCAAUUCUCCUGCCUCAGCCUCCUGAGUAGCUGGGAUUACAGAGGCCUGCCACCAUGCCUGGCUAAUUUUUGUAUUUUUAGUAGAGAUGGGAUUUCACCAUGUUGGCCAGGGUGGUCUCAAACUCCUGACCUCAGGUGAUCCAGCCGCCUCGGCCUCCCAGAGUGUUGGGAUUACAAGCAUGAGCCAGCACGCCUGGCCUGAAAAUACAUUUUGAUGAACAAAAAAUUUUUAAUUUUUUUUUUUUUUUUUUUCCUGAGACAGAGCUUUGCUCUGUCACCCAGGCUGGAGUGCAAUGGCGUGAUCUUGCCUCACUGCAACCUAUGCCUCCUGGGUUCAAGCAAUUCUCCUGCCUCAGCCUCCCGAGUAGCUAGGAUUACAGGCAUGGGCCACCAUGCCCGGCUAAUUUUUUGUAUUUUUAGUAGAGACGGGAUUUCACCAUGUUUGCCAGGCUGGUCUCAAACUCCUGACCUUGUGAUCCGCCCCCGUGGCCUCCCAAAGUGCUGAGAUUGCGGGCGUGAGCCACCACUCCCAGCCAAAAAUUUUUUAAUUUUAAAAGUCAAUGUAUAUCAUUUGUAUUUUAUAGUUAGUGCUUUUUUUGUAUUGUUUAAAUUUUUAAAAUUCUUCCAUUAAUCUAAAAUAUUUUCAUGUGUGCUUUCUACUAAGAGAAUUUAAGUUUUGUUUUUGACAUUAUAGUUUUUAAUACAUUUGGAUUUGGAUCUUAUAUCUUGUAUGAUACAGAACUCUAAUUUUCGCCUUUAACUACAUGCAUAAUCAUUUUUUCCACCUCCACUUAUUGAAUAGUUCCUAAUUUUCCCAUCAAUAUCAUGUGUUUCUUCUGGCAUAGCCAAAGUCCCAUAAAUGUGUGGGUCUGUUGUAGUUUCCUAUUUAAUUCAGUUAAUUUGUCCAAUUUGUUUUAUUAUGCCUUAAUUACCACAGCUUCACAGUAAGUCUUUAUGUCUGAUAGGGCAGCUUCCUCUAGUGUCUUCAGAAAUUUCCUGACUUUAAAAAAAAUCCUUAUUGUUCAUGCUUUUUUAAAGAAUUAGCUUUACAUGAUGCAAGAAAAAGAUCUGUUGGAAUUUUGAUUGUAAUUUUGUUAAAUCUAUAGGUCAACUAAUUACAAUAUUGAAUCUUCUUAUGCACAAACAUGGUAUAUUUCUCCAUUUAUUCAGGUCUUUAUUUAAUGUCUCCUAAUGUCUUUUUGUAGUUUUUACUUAGAGAUCUUACAUAUUUGUUAUUAUAUUUACUCCUAGGUACUUGGUAUUCUCUAAGAUUAUUGAAAAUGCUGUCUUCUUUUUAAUUACAUUUUCAGGUAUUUGUCAUUGGUAUAAAGAAAUGUAUUUGACAAUAAUCUUAUAUUCACCUUAAAUUCUCUUAUUUCUAAUAAAUUGUACUUUUUUUGGUUUUCUACAAAAAUGAUCAUAUCUAAAAAUAAAGUUAGAUUUGUUUAUUCUUCUGCAUCAUUUUGAAUUCAGUUUAUUAUUUCAUGUGCUAUUAGAACCUUUAAUUUAGUAUUAUUUAUUUUUUGAUUUGUAAAUCGGAAUGCUUUUAUUAUCUUUUCAUUUAGGAUGAUGUUUACUGUAGGUUACUUAGAUACGCUCUAUGGAAAUCUCUUUUAUUUUUUCUAAGACCUUUUAUUAUGAAUUUAAUGUUGAAUUUUAUCAAAUGCUUUCUCUGCAUUUAUUAGAAUAAUUAUGAUUUUUCUCUAUCUGUUAUUAUAAUGGGUCAGAUUUAUAGAUUUUUCUCAUACUAAGCCUAUCCUUGUAUUCCUUGGAUAAAUCUAACUUGGUAAUGUUUACUUUUUUCAUAACUUUUAGCUAUUAAGUAGAUACCAAAUUUUCUUUCAAGGUCAAGUUUGAUAGUUAUAAAAAACUAGUGAUACUAAGUCAUAGAAAAUAUACUUUAAAAAACUAGUGAUACUAAGUCAUAGAAAAUAUACUUUAUUUUAUAAAAAGACUUUAACUGUAAAAAGUAAAAAAAAAAAAAAAAAAAAAAAAAAAAAAAAAAAAAACCUGGCCGGGUGCGCUGGCUCACCCCUGUAAUCCCAGCACUUUGGGAGGCCGAGGCAGGCAGAUCACGAGGUCAGGGGAUCGAGACCAUCCUGGCUAACACGGCGAAACCCCGUCUUUACUAAAAAUACAAAAAAUCAGCCGGGCGUGGUGGUGGGCGCCCGUAUUCCCAGCUACUCGGGAGGCUGAGGCAGGGGAAUGGCGUGAACCCUGGGGGGGCGGAGCUUGCAGUGAGCCAAGAUUGCGCCACUGCACUCCAGCCUGGGAGACAGAGCAAGACUCUGCCUCAAAAAAAAAAAAAAAAAAAACCCCUAGAAUUUUAAUUACUGCCUUUACUUUUAAUUCAGUGGUUUUUAGUAUAUUCACAGAGUUGUGUAACAAUCACCAUGAUCAAUUUUAGCAUAUUUUUAUUACUUCAAAAAGCAACUCUGGACUCAUGAGCAGUCAUUCACUCCCCAUCUGCUCCCAACCCCUUUGUUCCCAUCCGCCCACCCAGCCCUAGGCAGCCACUAAUCUACUUUCUGUCUCUACAGAUUUGCCUGUUCUGGACCUUUCAUAUAAAUGCAAUCAGGCAAAAGAAAGGAGAUUUCAGUGCUCAGUGUUGCCAGGUAUCUCUGCCUCCAGUUUUGCACCUUCCUGGAAAGCUCAUUUUGUUCAGAUUGUCUGCCUGCCUCUAUCUAUCCUGCCUUCAGUGGAUGGCAGAGAUUUCAUCUCUUUUGUUUGCACAGCCUUGAAAGGUGCUUGAUACAGAGAUGCUUGGUAAAUACUUGCAGAAUAAAUUAUAAAAGUAACACAUACUCAUAAAAAUUUUAAAGUAAAAAUAUGUAUAGUAAUAAACACUUGGUGCUUAUUACAUAUCAUCCAGUGGGAUAAAUGCUUGUAAGUAUAGUCAGCCUUCUGUUUCCCUGGGUUCCAGAUUUGUGGAUUCAACCAACUGUGGCUCUAAAAUAUCUGGGGGGAAAAUGGCAUCUGUACUGAACAUGUACAUACUUCUUUUCUUGUCAUUCCUUAAACAAUACAGUAUAACUAUUUACAUAGCAUUUAUACUGUAUUAGGUAUUAUAAGUAAUCUAGAGAUUAUUUAAAAUAUACUGGAGGAUGUGCAUAGGUUAUAUGCACAUACUAUGCCAUUUUAUAUCAGAGAUUUGAGCAUCCAAGGAUUUGGGUAUCUGCAAAUUUUGGUAUUCUUGGGAGGUCCUGGAACCAAUCUCUUACAGAUACCAAAGGAUGGCUGUAUUCUCCAUUCCUUUUCACCAGCUGAGAUCGUACUGUUAUCUGCACUUAACAGAUUAAGAAAUAGGUGUGAUGAGUAAUUUGUUUAAAUUCUGUGGUUGAUUGUGUUACUUUUCGACUGUAUUCUGUGCUCUUCCCUACAGGAGGAUUAUUCAUUCCUGUUUACUUGAAUUCAGGCAACAUCAUGUAACUUGAUUUAAGGAACCGAUACAUGAGUGGAAAUUCUGUGUGGCAUUUCUGAGCAGAAGUUUUAUGAGGCAGCACAUGCUCACUGUGUUACCUGUUCCUUCUGCCAUGAGACUGGCAGAUGGACAUUCUCUAUCAGCCAGGAUAUCAGAAUGAAGAAAUGUAGAACAUAGACCAAAACACCAAUGAGAAAUAAGCGUUUGUUGUUUUAGGGAAAGUGUGUUACCACAGCAUAAUUUAACCUAUCCCAAGUGAAUACAUAUUCAUGGAGUUAAUAUCUAUACCUGAAAAUUGAAACUCAGGUUGUCUACAUCUAACUAUGCCUCUGUCUUUUCCAAAGGUAUAAAGUAGGAGAAACUUCCCCAUGAUCCUACUCUUCCAGUGUUAACUACAGUUAAAAUUUAGUGUAAAAUUGUUUAAUACUUUUUCCUAUGUGUAUGUCAAUGUUCAUUUUUUUAAAACUGGGACCACUUUAUAUGACACAUACUAUUUUAGAGCUUCCUUUUCCUACUUAGUAAUAUAAAAUGGACCACUGUCACAGGUUAGGUUUUCCAUAAACAGACACUGAGUUUGGAAUAUAAGAUUAUUUUCAGGGAUCAUCACCUUUAAAAGGAGAAGUGAAGAAGUAGGAUUGGGGAGAGCAAGAAGUAGAGCUGUGAUGCUGGCCCACAGAUGUCUCUCUGGGGUUCGUAUUGUUUGUCAGAGUUAUCCCAUAUCUUGUAGAAGUGGCCAUGCUUUUCAACCCACUCCUUACUCAGUGGCCUGAUGUGGGCUGCCCUGAGCAAGGUAGCUUUCUGCAGCUGAAGCAGACACUGAAGUUGCUGGCAGCUAACUCCAUCUUUGCAGCUGGGCAGCAAAUCCUUUCUUGAAGUGGGAUCUGGACAUUUAUAUUUGUCUAGCACAGUUCAUUUUUUGCAUCACUUGGAAACCCUUCUCUGUUUUCAUUCCUUUUGUUCUUAAUGUAUAUUCUCAAGCCUCUUGUCUACAAUCACUAGAUAAGUUUGUUGUAAACUGUCUUAACUAUAAAAUGAAGAAGGUAUAGGUAACUAUAAUAUGAAGAAUGCAUUGGAAGUGUAAAUUUUAAAGGAGUUUGCUGAUUAAUAACUCUUUUGUUGUAACUUUUGUUCAAUGAUGUUUGACAAAUACUUUUUUUUUUUUUAAUUUGAGGCAGAGUCUCACUCUGUUGCCCAAACUGGAAUGCAGUGGCAUGAUCUCAGCUCACUGCAACCUCCGCCUGUUGGGCUCAGAGAUCUUCCCGCCCCAGCCUCCCGAGGAGCUGGAACUACAGCCUUGUGCCACCACACCCAGCAAAUUUUUGUAUUUUAUUGCAGAGAUGGCAUUUCACCAUGUUGCCCAGGCUGGUCUUGAACUACUGGACUUAAGCAAUCCGCCCACCUGGGCCUCCCAAAGUGCUGAGAUUACAGGCAUGAGCCACCGCGCCUGGCUGACAAAUACUUUUUAAAAAUAUCCAAGUUUCUGGAUUUUAUUCACCUCUACAAAAAUGAUUUAAGUCCUGUAGAAACAUGUGCCCACAAAUGACACAGUAAUCUCCAGCAAUGUGUUCAACAGCACGUUGAGCAUAAUUGAGCAUAACAGACAUUUUUAAAUUUGUUGUCUCAAAUUCCAUUUAGAUUUGGCUAUUGAUGCAAAAUUAGGGAGGUCAUUUUUCACUAGAUUACUUUCAAUGCUGGAAUCCAUACUUAAAAAAAAAAAAAGAAGAAACUAGAUUUAGUAUAUCUUUCUUUGCCACUUCAGGCUUCCAAAGGAGAAAAAUUCAUGGAUAAGUCAUUAACUGUUACAAAUGCAUUAUGUCUUCAGUUGUGAUGGUUAUGAUAAAACAUGUUUAUUUUAUAUUUGUAAUUUAGUAAAAUUAGUUGAUUCAAGGAGCUCUAUCAUAAAUGGGAAGUAAUAAAAUGAUAAUAAUUAAAGCAGGUUAUUUUUCUCUGGUCAUUUUUGCAUUCUUUGUAGCUCAUGAAGUAGAUUUGUUGCUUUCAUCUGUGUCUGCCAUGUAUGCUAGGCAGGAAAGAAAGGAAGUAAGAAAGAUAUAGCCAUGUGGGGAAAGGAGACAGAGGGAAGGAGGAGGAAAGAGAAGGAAGGAAAUAAAAUCAACUCUUCGUUUUCUGCACUUUCCCUGAGCAAGUUCUUUUUUAUUUGUGUGUACAAUGAAUCUGCGUUUCUCCCUGCCACGCCCCCUCCCAACCCCUUUGGCUAAUAGAAAGCUCUGAAAAAAAUUUUGAAACUUAUAUCCAAAUGCAGUGGAUAUAAAUAAAGUUAUUUCCCCUGGCUUUUCAAAAAUAUGAGUGAGUGUUGGAUAUUAGAAAGCUACCUUACUUCUUUAGAUCGAGACCAUCCUGGCUAAUACGGU
rnacentral:lncRNA from 1 species